UACGUAGGGUGCGAGCGUUGUCCGGAAUUAUUGGGCGUAAAGAGCUUGUAGGCGGUUUGUCGCGUCUGCUGUGAAAUCUCAAGGCUCAACCUUGAGCUUGCAGUGGGUACGGGCAGGCUAGAGUGUGGUAGGGGAGACUGGAAUUCCUGGUGUAGCGGUGAAAUGCGCAGAUAUCAGGAAGAACACCCGUGGCUAAGGCGGCUCUCUAGUACGGUACUGACGCUGAGACGCGAAAGCGUGGGGAGCGAACAGG
rnacentral:rRNA from 1 species